GAAAGAAAAAAAAAAAGAAAAAGAGCUUUUUUUAAUUUAAAUUUUGUUGUGUUCAGUGAACUUGAUUCUACUAUCGCUUGUUGUGUCAUGGUUAUGUGCACCUUUUGGUGGAUGCUAUUUGGUUUUGCAGAUUGCAAGUACUGGAUGUGUAUAGCUAAAUAGUCCUUACAUCAUGGUAAAUUCGUUGGCUCUACUUUUACCAUUAUACUUUUAAAUGAAUUCACAACCUAUAUAUAUCUCUAAACCCUAGAAACAUA
rnacentral:lncRNA from 1 species